AAGGUAACCUAUAUUAAAUUUCUAAUUUAAUUAUUAAUAUUAAAUUAUUAUUACUUUU
rnacentral:tRNA from 1 species